AGACAGUAAAGGAAAAGGGAUGUAACAGGUGAAACAAGACUGACCAUGUUUUAAUAAGCUGGCUAAUAGAUUCGGGUGUACAUGUGCAGGUCUGUUACCUGGGUAUAAUACGUGAUACUGAACUUUGGGGUACAAGUGAUCCUGUCACCCAG
rnacentral:lncRNA from 1 species